rnacentral:rRNA from 1 species
UACGUAGGGUGCAAGCGUUAAUCGGAAUUACUGGGCGUAAAGCGUGCGCAGGCGGUUAUGUAAGACAGGUGUGAAAUCCCCGGGCUUAACCUGGGAACUGCAUUUGAGACUGCAUAGCUAGAGUACGGUAGAGGGGGAUGGAAUUCCGCGUGUAGCAGUGAAAUGCGUAGAUAUGCGGAGGAACACCGAUGGCGAAGGCAAUCCCCUGGACCUGUACUGACGCUCAUGCACGAAAGCGUGGGGAGCAAACAGG